CUCCCCGCCGGGCUCUCCCUGCCUGUGAGGCGAAGGGAGGGUAUUGACUGUGGCCCCCAGUGUUACCAGGCGUGGGCGCUGGCGAUGCCACGGGGCUCCUCCAUUCUCAUCUGCACACCUGAUUGUGGCUCCUCUUCGGUAUUUCUCAGCUGGGACGUGCGAGUUACCUUUUGGGGAGCUCCUAACUUGUAUACAGGUGCAAGGCUCUGGAUAGACAUGCGGGCGUUUGGAAUGUCCAUGUACGGGAGCCGCUGUACCAGUUACUUGCAUGCAAAGAUCUCAUCUUUCAAAAUUUCUUCCCCCUAGCAGUUCUGAAUCUUGGGUGUGAACUUUACCAGCUUCCCAGCUAACGCUGUGCGCAGUGUGAAUUCCGUGCUCCCAGGGAUGUCUGAAGUUAAGGCCCCGUUCACAGCUCCCUUCGUCUGGGGUUCCCGCUGGGAGGCAGGUGGCUCUGAGAGUUCUGAGGGGGAGGUGAGGAGCCGUCCCACUGGAUUCUGGGUGGCUUCACCCGGGCACCCUGGAGCCCGGUGGCGGACCCACACAGAAGGCCUGGGCUUGGCCUCUAAACUGCUCCUGCAAAGUGCAGGAUGCAGAACAAAUGGUGUCUGGUCUAGGAUAUUAGUUAUCUUCAUGCAGGCGAUUCCCACACAUCCCCUGGGAAAGUCAAUUGGGGUUUCUCUGGUUUCCCUCUGGAACCUGAUCACCUGGAUAAUGUGGAGAACUAGCAGCUAGUAAACGGCCCCGCCCAUUACCAAGCCAACUGGGCUGCCGGAUAGCAGGGUGUCAGCAGCCUCUUCAGUGAUCUGUAUCCUCGCCCCCAGACCCCGACCACAUUUUAAAAUUAGAUUACACAUUGAUAACUGGCCUCCUUUUUUUUUCACAUAUCUUUUGAAUCUCUUUUAAAGAAAAACCUGCAUUUUCUUAUGCUUAUGUCCCUGUGCUUAUGUUCUGCUCAUGCCUUCACUGUGAAGCAGUUCCCACCCUCUUUACACUCUCUCCUUAUACUUCUGUUUCUCCUACAGAUCCCCCAAGCUUGUGAACCCUAUUUUAGGAGAACUUAACUGAGAGGAUUUAAACAGGGUUUGAAAAGAUUAAUAAGUUCCUUCUGAAAGUGUAAUUAAUAAUUUGCUAGAUACACGUGGACACUGACGAGAAGGGACAGAAUCUGGAAAGACCCUCCCUGGGGAAAAUGACAGUGGCCACUUUUCAGCCUCAGAGAGGAAAUAGCACAGAAUGUUUCCCAGCCUAUGUUGUUCUUCAACUGCCCUACCUUGGAUGGAUGGACACUUGUUAAAUAAAAGCAAAAGACAUUCUCAUUUCUCAAGCGGUAUAGGUUUUUGUGGGCAGGGCCCAAUUGGCUAUCUGCAGGACUUCCUUCCAGAAGUGGUGGGCAUGAAUAUGUGGAGCACAGAUGUCCCCCAAAUGAGAUGCUUAUAUAUAGCAACAGAUUCUCCAUCCUUGCAUCUUGUUGCAGAACAGCUCACGGGUUAACACGUUUCAGCAGGCACAGAAUCCUCCGUGCUUUGGAGACGUGACGUCCGACAUCUAGGCGUCCCACAGCCGUGGCUCCCUUUUGAGGCUCUGAGAAUCUGCACCUGCGCCUCUUCUGGCUCCUGCUGGAGUCCCUUGGCUAUUAGAUGCUUCACCCCAUUCUCUUCCUCUUCACAUGGCAUUUCCCUCUGUGUCUGUUUUCUUCUUUUCUGUUCUACAUAAGACAGUUGUCUUUGGGUUUAGGGCCCACCCUGACCCAGGAUGACCUUAUCUCGAGAUCCUUAACCGUAGUUACAUCUGCAAAGACCUUAACUCCAAAUAAGGCCACAUUCUGAGGUUGCAGGGGGUGGGACAUAGUCAUACCCUUUGGAGGCCACCACAGUUCAACCCACGACAGUCUGUUCUUUUGCACCCCCCCAAAUUCCUGUGUGUCACAUAUACAAAAUACAUUCACUCCAUACCAGUUGAUUAUUAAUUAAUAGUGGCUUGUGUGGGAAAAGGAAUUUUUAAAGGUGAAAGGUUGAAUUUCUGGUAUAAAGAAAAGACAGAUGCUGUGGAAGGAUGGUCAUUAAUCUUAUUUUUUUAAAGGUAAAUUUUAUUUUGAAGCUACUGUAGAGUCAUGUAACAGUUCUUUAGAAGUAAUACAGAGAGCUCCCAUGUACCCUUUACUCAGUCUGCUCAGUGGUAAUGUCUCACAAAACACAGCCUGGAUGUUGGCUUUGAUAUGAAGACACAGAACAUUCCCAUCACCACAGGAUCCUUCCUCUGGUCCCCCUUACCCCUACCUUCCUCAGCACUGUCACUGCCCCUUUGCCCCUAGUCCCUUCCAACCGCUAACUUGUUCUCCAUUUCCGCAAUUUCGUUAUUUCUAGAAUGUUCUAGAAACUGAAUGGCAUGUGACCUUUUGGGAUGGCCUUUUCCCCCUUAGCCUGAUUCUCUGUGGAGAUCCGUAACAACAGUAGUUUGUUCCUUUUCAUUGUUGUGUUCCAUGGCAUGCGUGCACCACAAGUGGUUUAACCAUUUACCCAUUGCAGAACAUCUGGGAGUUUUCCAGUUGGGGGCUCUGGUGAAUAAAGCUUCUGGGGCCAUUUGUGUCCGUGUUUCUGUGUGAGCACGUUUACAUUUCUCUGGGGUAAAUACCCAGGAGUACAAUUGUGGCAUCAUAUAGUAGUUGCAUGUUUAGUUUUAUAAGAAAGUGCCAAAUUACUCUCUCGAGUAGAUGAACUAUUUACAUCGCUGCCAGCAGUGUAUGCAUGAUACGUUUUCUCCCCACCAUCACCAGCAUUUGGUGUUGUCACUGUUCUUAAAUUUUAUCUAUUUUGAUAGGCAUGUAGUGACAUGGCAUCCUGGUUUUAAUUUGCAUUUCCCUACUGGCUAAUGAUGUUGGACAUCUUCUCUUAUGCUUAUGUGCCAUCUGUAUACCGUCUUGGGUGAAAUGUCUCUCUUGGUGUCUUUUGCCCAUAUUCUAAUUGGAUUGUUGUUGUUUUUUUUACGGUUGAGUUUUGAGAAUUCUGUACACAUUCUAUAUACUAACCGUUUGUUGGGUAUGUAAGUAUUUUUUUCCCUGUCUGAAGCUUGUUUUUUCUUCCUCAUCAGAGCAAGUGUUUCACAAGAAGCAAAUUUUACUUUUAAUAAAAUUCAGUUUAUUAGCUUUCCCUUUUAUGAAUCUUGCUUUUGGUAUCCAGUCUAAGAAAUCUUUGCCAAACACCAGAUCCAGAGUGUUUUCUUUUAUCAUUUUUUUCCCCAAGUUUUAUAGUUUUUUGUUGAAUAUAAGUCUGUGAUUCAUUUUGAGUUAAUUUGUAUAUAAGGUGUGAUGCUUGGGUGAAGGCUCAUUGUUUUGCUUGUGGAUGUCCAGUUGCUCCAACCCCAUUCAUCUAAAAGGUCAUCCUUCCUCCACUGAAUCGCGUUCCCACUUUGUCAAGUCAAUCAGACAUGUUUUUGUGGUUCUAAAACAAAAGUUUGGCCUGUAUUUACUGAGAGUAACUUCAGUUCCACAAAUAGUAAAAGAAAAUCAUCCUCCCCAAAGCAGAUUUAUUUUAACUCCCCUUAUUUGCCAACAUUAGGUUAGCCCUAAUAAUUUAUGACUUCCAAUGUGGUAAAGUCUCCAACCUUUAUGGUCUGUGUAGCUUUUGGUGUUCUUCCGUUUAUUUUUACUACAGAGGAGUUUGGGGGCCUAGGAGGUGGUUGAUAAAUGAUGAACCCAUCAGAAUCUGGAAGGGACAACAUGAAGGAACUGUCUGCCCAUGGAGGAUUUGGACCCUUUCUUCCAGUGGAGAUUUCAGAGACAGUAAAAGAGACUUUCAGAAAGGAAGGGAAGUGGGUGUUCGGCACAUGCCUUCGGCUUCCUCCCCUGUAGCUCUAGUUAAGCAUGGUGCAGGGGGAGAUCUAAAGAGGAAAUUAAAAUCUUUUGAAAACCAGAUAGUCUGACUUUUGGUAUCCCACAGUUUGGAUAAGGAUUACCGUAAAGGAAAACCAAACUCAACUACACCGUGUACAGCCCUGCACCGUUGUGCUCUGUCCACGGUACACGUUGAGCCACGGUGGCCUUCAGUUCGGAAAGAUUCAGCAGAGGAGCCCUUAAGUGCAAUGUGCUCUCCUUUAUCCAUUCAUUUUUUUUAAAAAUGGGGGAAAGCCAGCUUUGUUUUUGUGUCUCUCCCCCAGAAGAACCCGAGUCCUGGGCCAUCAUUUCUAGAAUACUGCACCUGUUACCCUUGCUCAGUAAGCAGACAUAGCAAAUGGGUGGGUUUGGUGUGCCUCGUCCAAGGACGUCCUCAUCUUGUCCCCAGACGAGGGGCUCAGUCUGCUGGGUCUGACCAUCUCAGCGUGCCCCCAGACCCUCAAGUCAAGGGGAAGUAAAGAGACCUCACUUCACUCACCACGAGGCGCUAGGAAUUCACACUCCACCUUGCAGAGGGGGCUUUCCGGCAGCACAUUCAUCAGAGCUUGCAGUUCACUUAUAUUCCUGUAACCAUUGGUCUUAUUGUAAGUUUGUAUUGAUAAGGGUGUAGCAGCAUUGCGGUUCCUGCUCUGAACUGCUUUCUAAAGGGUUUCCCAGCUCCGAACACCCCAGCCAGUGGGAGUGCAUCUGUUUUCAUGGGGUGAGGUUUUAAAGAGUUUGCUCAUUUCUGCCCCAGACACCUGCAUAGGCUCACCUGUGUCCCAGGGCUGUUGUCCCAGCCCCUGGUAGCGUGUACUUAGAUGCCAUUCCCUACCAAAGAGUGAAUUAUGGGGAUCAGGAGUGACUUGUCUUAUGAGCCACUUUUCCUGGUAGAAUAUUUAUCAGGAAAAUUAACUUCUAAGGAACGUGCCCCAAACCUGUGCUUUGCAGAGCCUGCAGGGAGUGACCUGCAGAGCCUUGCAGGGAAUGCUCAGCUCCCGGCAGCUCCUGUAUAUGCAUUGUUGGCCCUACACCUGUGUUUGUGGGGUCAUCUUGGUGCCUGGGAAGAGAAGAGGUUCCUGACGGUGCGGCAGGCAGUGUAUGUGGUUAAGAGCAUGUGUCCUGAAGCCAGCUGGCCUGAAUUUGAAGACCUCUCUUGCUUUCUAGCUGUGUGAUCUUGGGCCAAGUCACCUAGCCUACCUCUCUGUGCCCUUUUCCUGCUUUGUGAAAUGGGUAUAGUAACACUCACCCCACAGGGCUGGUUUGAGGAUUAAAUAAUGUGGUGUGUGUAAGGUCCUUAGAACACUUCCCGGCAUGUGGGGUGUUCUCCAUGUUCGUGUCAUUCAUCAUCUCUCAGUUGACCCUAAACUGGUGUAAUUUCAUGAGGAAGCACUCCUUGAGAGGGUUUCCCCAGUAAGUGCUUUGGACUCUAAAGAGAACAGCACCAAACACAUACAAUUACGAACCCAGAAGUGAGUUUUUAAAAUGUUUUUCCUAGGAAUUGAGCUUAAGGAGAUUGACACGUCACUGAGAAGUCCUGGGAGCAGGUUUAUGUUGCCGACUGAUCAAACGGAAUUAUUCUCACACAAUCUAAUUCCUGGGUUUUUCCUGGGCUUUCCUACCUUUCCAGCAGCCGCAGAUGGACCGGGAAUUCAAACCGAGGGCUUGCAUUAUGGGGGAUUUUUGUCUAGGCCUAUUUAUAAUAUUCUGGGUUUCCCCCUCCUAUGGUACACUUCCUCAAGCUGCUGAGAAGUGGGGAGGAUGCUGAAUUCUGCUCUCACGCAAAGUGGUAGACCCAGGGUGGCGGAGAGGGUGCCCAGUGGUCUGGGACAUUGGUCCAGGCAAAUGCUCCUUCUCACUCCACCUUUUAAAAACUCAGACGAAAAUGACUUGGCUGAUGAGAACUUGGGGUACCUGUGGUGAAUAAGGCACCCUCUUGGCCCAGGACAUGAGGAUUAUUCCCCAUCUUUCAAGAGAACAUUUACACUGAGGUAUACUAGGAAUGUGGUGUUGACGUCAGUAUUAGGGUCAUUUCCGUUAAAAGUGACAAGAAAACCUCAAAUAAAAACAAGAUAAUGGUUUAAAAUCUCAGUCAUUCAUCUCUCAGUUCUAUAGUCAUCUGAUUCUGGGGCACCUUUAUUCAGCUGCUCCACUACCCAUAGUUAGCAUGAUAGUAGUGCUGCACAGUGGCUGCUUGAGCUCCAGCCAUCAAGUCUUCAUUCCAGCCAACAAAUAGACUCAAGAGGGGACCCUCACUCUUUGAGGAGAUUCCAGGACGCUCCCACUUCACACUUCUUAUCGAAUUGGCCAGAACUUACUUAGCACAGGCACAGUGGGCUGCAAGGGAGCUGGGAAAUGUAGUCAUGUGCCCAGCUGAAACUCAGGGACUAAGAUUUGGGUACACGCCUAGCUAUUUCUGCCUGAGUGUGUUGUGUACUUUCGGAUGGAGUCAAGGCUGAUGGUAAGAACGUGCAGGAGAAAUAAGGGGGCUGCUGGAUGAAUUCAAGCAUUUCCUGUGGUAACCUUCUCAUGCAUGGGAGUGAGCCUCCCAGAGGCUAAGUCCUGCCGGGCUCUGGGAGUAAACUCUGAGUUGCAGUUGGUCCCUGUGCUCCAGAGGCUGUAGGUUGUUGG